UCCCCUGUAGCUCAAUGGUAGAGCAGUCCCCUGUUAAGGGAAAGGUUGGAGGUCCGAAUCCUCUCGGGGGAG
rnacentral:tRNA from 1 species